UGGCUGGAGUAAAAUUUUCAGUUGCAAUUCGCAAUUCUCUAUAAGUGUACAAGGUUGUGUUCUGAAUGCUUGAAACCACAUCAUCAACUUCUGUCGUAUGUCUAGGUGGGGAAGCUCCCUUCUUUUUGAAACAUGAAUAUAAACAAGUCAUCACCAGGUUGCUAUGCAAACCAAUAUCUCCAAUGAAACUUGUAUAUUGUCCUUCUUAAUUCUUCAACAGCAAUUGAAAUUUCAGAUUACACACAGCAACACAAAAG
rnacentral:misc_RNA from 1 species